rnacentral:tRNA from 1 species
GCUAAGGUGGCAGAACUCGGGUAUGCAAAAGGUCUAAGCCCUUUGGAUAGAGGUUCAAAUCCUCUCCUUAACU